rnacentral:rRNA from 1 species
UACGUAGGGGGCUAGCGUUGUCCGGAUUUAUUGGGCGUAAAGAGCGUGUAGGCGGCCAGGUAGGUCCGUUGUGAAAACUCGAGGCUCAACCUCGAGACGCCGAUGGAAACCAUCUGGCUAGAGUCCGGAAGAGGAGAGUGGAAUUCCUGGUGUAGCGGUGAAAUGCGUAGAUAUCAGGAAGAACACCCGUGGCUAAGGCGGCUCUCUAGUACGGUACUGACGCUGAGACGCGAAAGCGUGGGGAGCGAACAGG